rnacentral:rRNA from 1 species
AUUGAACGCUGGCGGCAGGCCUAACACAUGCAAGUCGAGCGAGCGGCGGACGGGUGAGUAAUGUAUGGGGACUGCCCGAUAGAGGGGGAUAACUACUGGAAACGGUAGCUAAUACCGCAUACUAUCGGAUAACCCAUAUGGGAUUAGUUAGUAGGUGCGGUAAUGGCUCACCUAGGCGACGAUCCCUAGCUGGUCUGAGAGGAUGAUCAGCCACCCUGGGACUGAGACACGGCCGAAACUCCUACGGAGGCAGCAGUGGGGAAUAUUGCACAAGGGGCGCAAGCCUGAUGCGGCCAUGCCGCGUGUAUGAAGAAGACCCUAGGGUUGUAAAGUACUUUCAGUCGGAAGGCGUUACCGACAGAAGAAGCACCGGCUAACUCCGUGCCAGCAGCCGCGGUAAUUC